UACGUAGGGGGGCAAGCGUUGUCCGGAUUUAUUGGGCGUAAAGAGCGUGUAGGCGGCCUGACAGGUCUGCUGUGAAAACUCGAGGCUCAACCUCGAGAUGUCGGCGGAAACCGUCUGGCUAGAGUCCGGAAGAGGAGAGUGGAAUUCCUGGUGUAGCGGUGAAAAUGCGCAGAUAUCAGGAAGAACACCUAUGGCGAAGGCAGCUCUCUGGGGACGGUACUGACGCUGAGACGCGAAAAGCGUGGGGGAGCGAAC
rnacentral:rRNA from 1 species